rnacentral:sRNA from 1 species
CCCAGGGCUGACGCCCUGGGCUAGGUUCUUCCGCGCCUUCGGCGCU